CGCAAAGCCACCCCUGCCGACUCCGGGAGUACGGUUGGUGGCUCCAUGUCACAGUGGUCCCAGCCGGUCCCAGCACUCGAUGAUGUGGUGACUGAUGCAGGUGACAGCGAGCCAGAGGGUCCUGGGGCUCAGCAUGUGACUGUGGCAGCCCUGUGAUAGGCAGAGGGAGGACACCACAUGCAUCCAGGUGGACUCUGAGUGGUUACGCAGAGCUGUUCCCCAGAGUUGUGGCUGUUGCCGGAGCGGGGUCCCCUCAGCUGCACUGUGGAGAAGCAGAGAUAAAGAGACCAGCAGCAGGCUGAAGGACCAUUGAUGGGAGACACAGCAGUCGCUCCUUAUCUGGCUGGCACUUCCUGUGGUUUUGGUCACACGUUGGCCAGCCGUCAUCUGGUGUCCUUAGGACUCUCCUGACUUAUCAUCAGUCAACAGCAGCCUGUCAGAAGACCCAAGGUCUGAGUGUCAGAUGGCGAGAGGACAGAGCAAGGGUGAUGAUCACCAGGCCCUAAGUGAGCCAGUCGCCCCUGAUUGGAUGCUGAUUGUGCUCACAGCUGCCCAGAGUUAACUGACAGCUGUGCGGGCUCCACUUCCCCAGAAGGGCAUGGCCGGCUGUGGACGGCAGAGCCGGAAGCUGAGCUGGGCCAGCAGCACCCUGGGGAACCACAGCCUUUGGACAUCUAUCCAGCGAGGAAGAAAAAGCACUUCUGGAGGAGGCAGGCAGCUUAGUUUCAGGGACCAGUGACUUACACGCAACGGAAAUGCAUUUCUCAGAGGUCUGGAGGGUGGAGGUCCCAUUUCUCCUGCAUGCUGGUGAGCUCACUGGGCUCCUGGUUUGUAGGUACCUAUUCUAUUAGGGACAUCGAAGCCAGGAGACGGGAAGUUAGGCAGGCAGGGGAAGGGUGGGCCCUAAAUAGGUAAACUAAAAGUAGGUGCCUAAGAGAAUUAGCAUACCAACUUUAAAAUGCAAAAGACAAAAAGAGUAUGUCCUUAACCCAAGGGGAGAGACCUUGGAGGAAGUGAAGCAGCUGGUCGUCCAGACAUCAAAGGCCUCCUUGAUUCCUGCCACAUACACUGAUCCCCAAAACUGUAUAAAAUGACAGUGAACCAAAACAUCUAUGGUCCCUGCCCUAUGGCACGUCUCUGUAACUAGCAGAGAGAGAGAGCUUUCCUCUCGUCUGCCUGAUAAACAAGCAUUGGCCGUUCCUCA